rnacentral:lncRNA from 1 species
CGGGAGGUGGACAGGGAGCAGGGGGGCAGCCGAGGGCCAGGCAGGCUCGGCCUGACUUCUCCAGGGGAGCCCACAAACACAUCUGUCAAGUUUACUGAACACCAUUCAUAUCAGAAUUCCCAUCAAGAAUUUCACAUCAGUCCUUGAAGAGCCAUUUCCUGGGAAUGGAGGAAGGAGCUGCACUUUCAGUGAGGCUCUGGGAAAAGUGACUUGAUGUCAUGCCCUCUGCUGAGAAGUCUGUCCAAAUCCAGACCGACUUUGGAACAAAGCCCAACCACUGGAACCAUCCAGGCCCGCCCAGGACUGCACCUUCCUAGCUCCUGGCCCUGCACACCUCUGAGCAGCCCUCCUCUAAGGCAUUUUGUCAUGCCCUAGGUUUGGGUACUCUUCCAGAUUGCUUUCAGAAGAUCGUGAAUCAUGUCUGGUCUUUGCUGCGCCUCCUUUUUGGGCAGUGAGCUCCAGGAGAUGGCUGCUCUGGACAGUAUUUGCUUUGUUUGAUUAACGAAGACUUGGACCUUGUUGUUCUUUACUGUCGCUGCCUCAAAGGCUUUAAUCAAAGGCUGUUUGGAAAUAAUGCUAGCUAAUUAGCUAUUUGUGAUGCAACAAGGGCGACUCUCUCUUAGUUCCUUAAACCUUUCACCUGAAACACAAACAUGCCACACUGGAGAUUUAAUUGUCAAGGAAGAUGAAAAGUCUACCAAAUCAUUUGCUGGGUAAAGGCCUCCUGUUGACAUAAGCAACAGGAACCUGCAGGCUUGUGCAACAUGGGCCUGUAGCAGCAUGUUGUCAUGUGGAAAGUGGAUGAGUGACAUGGCUGAUCUCUAGCA